UACGUAGGGUGCAAGCGUUGUCCGGAAUUAUUGGGCGUAAAGAGCUCGUAGGCGGCUUGUCGCGUCGGCUGUGAAAACCUGGGGCUCAACGUCCGGCCUGCAGCCGAUACGGGCAAGCUGGAGUUCGGUAGGGGAGACUGGAAUUCCUGGUGUAGCGGUGAAAUGCGCAGAUAUCAGGAGGAACACCGGUGGCGAAGGCGGCAUACUGGACGUUUUCUGACGCUGAGGCGCGAAAGCCAGGGGAGCAAACGGG
rnacentral:rRNA from 1 species